rnacentral:rRNA from 1 species
UACGGAGGAUCCAAGCGUUAUCCGGAUUUAUUGGGUUUAAAGGGUGCGUAGGUGGCCUGGUAAGUCAGGGGUGAAAGACGGUAGCUUAACUAUCGCAGUGCCUUUGAUACUGCCGGGCUUGAAUGAACUAGAGGUAGGCGGAAUGUGACAAGUAGCGGUGAAAUGCAUAGAUAUGCCACAGAACACCGAUUGCGAAGGCAGCUUACUAUGGUUUUAUUGACACUGAGGCACGAAAGCGUGGGGAUCAAACAGG